UACGGAGGGGGCCAGCGUUGUUCGGAAUUAUUGGGCGUAAAGGGCGCGUAGGCGGCGAGGUAAGUCAAACGUGAAAUCCCUCGGCUUAACCGAGGAAUUGCGUCUGAAACUGCCUUGCUCGAGGCCGGAAGAGGAGAGUGGAAUUCCCAGUGUAGCGGUGAAAUGCGUAGAUAUUGGGAGGAACACCGGUGGCGAAGGCGGCUCUCUGGACCGGUUCUGACGCUGAGGCGCGAAAGCCAGGGUAGCAAACAGG
rnacentral:rRNA from 1 species